CCAGCAGCCGCGGUAAUUCCAGCUCCAAUAGCGUAUAUUUAAGUUGCUGCAGUUAAAAAGCUCGUAGUUGGAUUUCGGGCGGGGCCUGCCGGUCCGCCGUUUCGGUGUGCAUUGGCAGGGCCCGCCUGGUUGCCGGGGACGGGCUCCUGGGCUUCACUGUCCGGGACUCGGAGUCGGCGCUGUUACUUUGAGUAAAUUAGAGUGUUCAAAGCAGGCCUACGCUCUGAAUACAUUAGCAUGGAAUAACACGAUAGGACUCUGGCCUAUCCUGUUGGUCUGUAGGACCGGAGUAAUGAUUAAGAGGGACAGUCGGGGGCAUUCGUAUUUCGAUGUCAGAGGUGAAAUUCUUGGAUUUUCGAAAGACGAACUACUGCGAAAGCAUUUGCCAAGGAUGUUUUCA
rnacentral:rRNA from 1 species